AAUUUUGUCUUUGGUGCUCACAGCAUUACAAAGACAUUUAGACGUGUGAGCAUGCAUCAUACAUUUCCAGAAACAGUGUCCCUGUUUAGAGAGGAAACUUGACUUGACCUUGGGAACAUGUCUGUGAUAAAAUGUUCUAAACUCAAGGUUCAAAUUCACUGGAUACAAGAAGCGUAUGAUGUUAAAUCUGCCCCCACUAUAUUCCAAAAUGGACCCUGCUAACUCAGCAGGCACCACCAGAAGCAUCCCAGUGGGGACUGCCUUAUGUGGCUGUGGACUGUCAGAACAUAACACAUGUCUUGGCACCAUCGACAUUUCAACACUGGUAUCAAUCUAACUGUAAGAGACCGCAUAAACAUAUUUCCAAAAAUCAAACCAAUUCUUUAACUGUGCUAUUUGGCAUAAGUGCAAUAUUUCCCCAACCUUAACCAUAACAUAGUUGCAAUUCACAAAUAAUUUAGAAAGUGAGAAUUGAGAUAACAUUGUCAUCACACAUGCUGCAGGGUUUUGAUGAGACAUUCUUGUCUAGCAUAGGGUCGCACAUACAGCCACUUAUCAUGUGAUCAAAGUUCCCUACGUGAUAUCAACUGAGUUCUGUUCGCCGAAGAGGUCUGUGCGAUAAGUAGUGGUAGUAAUAAUAAGUGAACCUUGUGUUUAGAAUAUUUUAUCAAAGAUAAGUGUCCCUGUUACUCUGUUUAGUUCACAACACACACAGUUGGUAGUUUUCACAGAGGCUAUUUAAAUUGCCUAACCCCAUGAAACCUGAUUACACAGACAGAGGGCAUGUUUACAUAAUGCCAUGGUGAUUGGUGUUUGGAUUAUCCUGGUUAUGUGUUGCGCAUGUAAACAUCAUAUACCAGUAUCAGAAACCUAGAUAAGGUCUUAUCCAUUACUGCAGAGCGGCUGAACCUAACUUUUAUAUAGAGCUCAAUGAAUAUGAACCGGGACUGAGCUUCAUCCUGAAGAUGGUCUGAAACAUGGAGGUCCGGACAGUUGGAUGCCAAAAAUGGCAUAGUGCCAGAGCAGAAUCCAGAGAUUAAGCAGAACAAAGCAGGGACCAGAAUCAAGAUGCAAAAACAAACAGGGGAACUGCUAGAAACAGGGCCCGGGGUGGAGCGGACAAAAUCAGCUGAUACUAAGAUCUGGCAAGUGAGUAUUCUCUGCCAUCACCAGUAAUGAGUCACCGUGCAGGGCUCUCCUCGAGCAGGAGGCACUCGCAGAGAGGCCGUUGCCUCCCUAACCCUCUUCCUGCCUUCUGACUUCAGCAUCACUAGCAGGAAGCUGAGACUGGCUCAGAGGCGAAUGCUCAUUUUACAAAUGUGCAUUGCCUUCCAAAUGGCUUUUCCAUCUUCCAGACCGACAGCCAUAUAAGAUAUCAAUAAUACAUGACUUAAAAGGAAUGCUCAAAAGGAAAGUGAAAUAAACAGUUCUCUGCAAUGGUCCAAAAAGUCUA